rnacentral:rRNA from 1 species
AUUGAACGCUGGCGGCAGGCCUAACACAUGCAAGUCGAACGGUAACAGGAAGAAGCUUGCUUCUUUGCUGACGAGUGGCGGACGUGUGAGUAAUGUCUGGGAAACUUCCUGAUGGAGGGGGAUAACUACUGGAAACGGUAGCUAAUACCGCAUAACGUCGCAAGACCAAAGAGGGGGACCUUCGUGCCUCUUGCCAUCGGAUGUGCCCAGAUGGGAUUAGCUAGUAGGUGGGGUAACGGCUCACCUAGGCGACGAUCCCUAGCUGGUCUGAGAGGAUGACCAGCCACACUGGAACUGAGACACGGUCCAGACUCCUACGGGAGGCAGCAGUGGGGAAUAUUGCACAAUGGGCGCAAGCCUGAUGCAGCCAUGCCGCGUGUAUGAAGAAGGCCUUCGGGUUGUAAAGUACUUUCAGCGGGGAGGAAGGGAGUAAAGUUAAUACCUUUGCUCAUUGACGUUACCAGCAGAAGAAGCACCGGCUAACUCCGUG